rnacentral:lncRNA from 1 species
GUUGUUUGGUGGGGGUUUUAUUCCCUUUUUCUUUUUUUCUUUAUAUAGCUCCUCUACUUGACAGAUGCCUGCAAAAUGUCAUCAGAACUUUGUGUGGACCUGUUUUGGUCUUUAAGAGAGAAGGUUUCAGCCUCUCAGGAGCAGUGAUUUACAUCCAAGGAGUUCUCUUGGCCCUGCACCAACGACUAAAGUCUGCAAAGUGUAGCAAAGAGAACAAUUAUUCAUAUUCUGGAAUGUCUCUGAAGCCCUUUCUGUGUAAAACUAUAUUAAAGGU